rnacentral:rRNA from 1 species
GACGAGGGGUGCUAGCGUUGUUCGGAAUUACUGGGCGUAAAGCGCAUGUAGGCGGUUAUUUAAGUCAGAUGCGAAAGCCCUGGGCUCAACCCAGGAAGUGCAUUUGAAACUAUUUAACUUGAGUAUCGGAGAGGGCAGUGGAAUUCCUGGUGUAGUGGUGAAAUACGUAGAUACCAGGAGGAACACCGGAGGCGAAGGCGGCUGCCUGGCCGAAUACUGACGCUGAGAUGUGAAAGCGUGGGGAGCAAACAGG